AGUUUCUUAGGCGAAACGUCAAAUUUGCGUCACGUUACGAAAGAAAAUCGGGGCUAUCGGCGCCAUUUUGUAAGCGUCGCGCGUACGUCACGCUUCGAAGAAAAUGGCGGAAUGUCCAGAAUAGCGGCUCAUGACUUGCACAUCAUAACUGGAAUUCUCCGCUCUUUCUGCGCAUGCGCGAGGAGUAGUGGGUGCGAGAGAGAAAUGUGGGGACUUUCGGUCCCUGAAAUUUCUCUUCGUCUAGGUACUACGGGGACGAAAGUUGUUAGCGCCGUUCGUCCCUAGCCGAGCUGGCAGCACAGAAUCGACAGAAUGCGUGCCGGCAAGGCGAAGAAGCCGUGUCCGAGGUGUCCAUGCUCCUGCAGUCCUGUGGUGACCCUGUGGAGCUGGAUCCGGUCUCGUGGAAACACAGCCGGCUCAUCAGUCACAAAGUAGGAGCUGAAGAGAACAGUCUAAUGCUGAUAUUACACCUGACUGUAUAGUGCUUAACUUGUGGUUAGCAGUGACAAAGGCAUUGCACUAAAGAUUGAGAGUAUGUCUUAAUACGCAGCGCUUAUCUGGCGAAUAGGAGAGCAGAAGGUGAGAACAAUGUUUUGAGAUGAGGUAUGCUUCAUCUGUGUAGUGAAAUCGUGUUUAUUAUUUGUGUAACGUCAGUGCACUCACUUGCUUAAGUAUAACGUUUACUGCAGCUUACAGCUUCUGUCGAUGCAGGUGCUUCUCUACUGGAAACAACCUUUCACUUACCAAAUAAAGUUGCCAUUUUGUAGU